rnacentral:rRNA from 1 species
UACGAAGGGGCUAGCGUUGCUCGGAAUCACUGGGCGUAAAGCGCACGUAGGCGGCUUUCUAAGUCAGGGGUGAAAUCCUGGAGCUCAACUCCAGAACUGCCUUUGAUACUGGAGAGCUUGAGUCCGGGAGAGGUGAGUGGAACUGCGAGUGUAGAGGUGAAAUUCGUAGAUAUUCGCAAGAACACCAGUGGCGAAGGCGGCUCACUGGCCCGGUACUGACGCUGAGGUGCGAAAGCGUGGGAGCAACAGG